rnacentral:rRNA from 1 species
ACAGACGAGGAGCUUGCUCCUCUGACGUUAGCGGCGGACGGGUGAGUAACACGUGGAUAACCUACCUAUAAGACUGGGAUAACUUCGGGAAACCGGAGCUAAUACCGGAUAAUAUAUUGAACCGCAUGGUUCAAUAGUGAAAGACGGUUUUGCUGUCACUUAUAGAUGGAUCCGCGCCGCAUUAGCUAGUUGGUAAGGUAACGGCUUACCAAGGCAACGAUGCGUAGCCGACCUGAGAGGGUGAUCGGCCACACUGGAACUGAGACACGGUCCAGACUCCUACGGGAGGCAGCAGUAGGGAAUCUUCCGCAAUGGGCGAAAGCCUGACGGAGCAACGCCGCGUGAGUGAUGAAGGUCUUCGGAUCGUAAAACUCUGUUAUUAGGGAAGAACAAAUGUGUAAGUAACUAUGCACGUCUUGACGGUACCUAAUCAGAAAGCCACGGCUAACUACGUGCCAGCAGCCGCGGUAAUACGUAGGUGGCAAGCGUUAUCCGGAAUUAUUGGGCGUAAAGCGCGCGUAGGCGGUUUUUUAAGUCUGAUGUGAAAGCCCACGGCUCAACCGUGGAGGGUCAUUGGAAACUGGAAAACUUGAGUGCAGAAGAGGAAAGUGGAAUUCCAUGUGUAGCGGUGAAAUGCGCAGAGAUAUGGAGGAACACCAGUGGCGAAGGCGACUUUCUGGUCUGUAACUGACGCUGAUGUGCGAAAGCGUGGGGAUCAAACAGGAUUAGAUACCCUGGUAGUCCACGCCGUAAACGAUGAGUGCUAAGUGUUAGGGGGUUUCCGCCCCUUAGUGCUGCAGCUAACGCAUUAAGCACUCCGCCUGGGGGAGUACGACCGCAAGGUUGAAACUCAAAGGGAAUUGACGGGGACCCGCACAAGCGGGUGG